UACGAAGGGGGCUAGCGUUGCUCGGAAUCACUGGGCGUAAAGGGUGCGUAGGCGGGUCUUUAAGUCAGGGGUGAAAUCCUGGAGCUCAACUCCAGAACUGCCUUUGAUACUGAAGAUCUUGAGUUCGGGAGAGGUGAGUGGAACUGCGAGUGUAGAGGUGAAAUUCGUAGAUAUUCGCAAGAACACCGGAGGCGAAGGCGGCUUGCUGGGCUCGGACUGACGCUGAGGCGCGAAAGCGUGGGGAGCGAACAGG
rnacentral:rRNA from 1 species